AUUUAAGCUCAAAAAGAGAAAUGGCAAUUAGAUGUCAUUAGGAGCCUUCUGAGCAAAGUGGGUGUCUGUCUUCUUCUUAGUUCAACUUCCACCUUUGCCCAGCCCCACUUCUUUUAUCUCUCAUAUUUGUUGCUCCUGGAAUCUUUCUCAGCCAACUUCCCAUGAAAAGCAGAAUGUGUUUCCCAGAGAACCUACAGCACUUGGUACCGGGAGACUCCUAGACAGAAACGUCUGCCAUAGCCUGAGCCAGAUCUCACUGCAGCCAGGUGUCCCUCAGCACAUUAUUGAAGAGCUGACUUGGCGGAGGUCUCAGUAUAACAGAAGUGAAUACACUUGUCCAGCUGGAUUUCAGACUUGCUAUGAACCCAUGACUGCUAGGCACAAGGCAAGUAUUAAUUUAAAUUAUCUUGCU
rnacentral:lncRNA from 1 species